rnacentral:rRNA from 1 species
AUGACGCUGGCGGCAGGCUCACACAUUCACAAGUCGAGCGGGGGAAGGCCAGCUUGCUACUGGACCUAGCGGCGGACGGGUGAGUAAUGCUUAGGAAUCUGCCUAUUAGUGGGGGACAACAUCUCGAAAGGGAUGCUAAUACCGCAUACGUCCUACGGGAGAAAGCAGGGGAUCUUCGGACCUUGCGCUAAUAGAUGAGCCUAAGUCGGAUUAGCUAGUUGGUGGGGUAAAGGCCUACCAAGGCGACGAUCUGUAGCGGGUCUGAGAGGAUGAUCCGCCACACUGGGACUGAGACACGGCCCAGACUCCUACGGGAGGCAGCAGUGGGGAAUAUUGGACAAUGGGCGCAAGCCUGAUCCAGCCAUGCCGCGUGUGUGAAGAAGGCCUUAUGGUUCGUAAACGCACUUUAAGCGAGGAGGAGGCUACUUUAGAUAAAUACCUAGAGAUACGUGGACGUUACUCGCAGAAUAAGCA